rnacentral:misc_RNA from 1 species
UCCAAUUCUUCAACCUUUUUAUCAGCCUGUGCUGCCUCUUGGAACUUUGACUUCAGAGAAUCCUGCUCCUCCUGGCUAAGUUGAUCAACAAGAUGCUUUUCCAGGACAGGAACUUUGGACUUUAGCUGGGGUGGUUUUUCAUCAGCGUAUUGAACAGGAGGUCUUGGUGGCCUUGCUGCAGCAGCAGGUGCUGGCCUUGGACCCAUCACAACUUGUGGUGGUUGAGAACCAGAAGCAGGUCUCCAAGUUCCACUGCUAGUGCCAUAUGAAGCUGUAGGGUAGCUUGUGGCAGAUAACAGAACCUCAUCAGACGUUACAGAUCUUGGAAGUGUUGUAGGAAGAGAACAGCCUUCUCUAUAACGUUCCAUCAAAUAGAGCGCUGUACAAAACUCCCUCCAAGAAAGCAUACUGUCCUUGUCUUGAUCAGAUAAAUCCCAAACCUGUUU